rfam:Physcomitrella patens subsp. patens PHYPAscaffold_336 genomic scaffold, whole genome shotgun sequence.
GUAGACGCCUUGCAAUUCAAGCAGACUCUAUUAUGCGGCUGCCGCGGACACUACGUGGUUUGUUGUGCUUCAGUCUGGUUGGAUUGUAGGCCUCCGCAA